GCACCGGUGGACCCACACACUCCCCGCGGGAGAACAGAGAGGCCGCCUCACCUGCCACCCCCUCUGCGGCUCCAAGUCCGGGCUUAGAGCAAAGCCCUCACAGCCCUGUCACCUACACUUCUCGGGCGUGUUUUUCUCAGUGACGUGUGGGCGGUGUGCGUGGAGUGGCCUGGAGAGAGUAGCAACACACUCAGACGCUUCCUGAACAGGGCUUGAGCGCCCCUGAGAGGACAAGAAUGUGUGGAAGACCAGAGGGGAGACAUGGAACCACCCAGAGACGGCACCUCCUCCAGGAAGCCCUCCUGAUCCUGGCAAUGCUAGAACCAUUUCGUGGGCCCCACAGAUCCUGUGCUAUACCCACCCCAGCACAGUUGACUCUGGAUAUCUGACUCCCCCUUUUCCUGAUUCCUAGUGCUGGACUCCCCCCCCACCCCUUGAGGCCGGAGUUCAAUGAGCACCUGGUGGAGAGAAGGAACAGCAGGAGUGGGCAGCCACACCCAGUGUUGGGAGGAUUCCAAGCCUCGGGCAAUGUAAAAGGCACUCCCUUCUCUAACCAGAAUUGGCCCGGAAAUGAAUAAAUACCCAUAAAAAAAUCAUGGCACAGUUCCUGUGUUUCACAGUCAACAUGCCUAAAGAUAGUCAUGCACAGCAAAACUGAAACGAAACAUUCUCUGCUGGCGCUGAGACAUAGUUUCUUGGACCCCCAUCCUGCCUCAGAACAUUCGGAGAGAAUGUGGGUUGGGAGAAGAUUUCAGGGCCCUCCUUGAUCACCCUAGCCACCUGUUUUAAGG